rnacentral:ncRNA from 1 species
CAAAAGCUUGGUCCUGGCUUUACUGUCGUCUUUAGCCAAAUUUACACAUGCAAGUAUCCGCACCCCCGUGAGAAUGCCCUUAAUCUUCCUUCCGGAGACCAGGAGCCGGCAUCAGGCACGACUUGUCUGCAGCCCACGACGCCUUGCUCAGCCACACCCUCAAGGGAUUUCAGCAGUGACAGACAUUAAGCAAUGAGUGAAAACUUGACUUAGUUACGGCUAAUAGGGCCGGUCAACCCCGUGCCAGCCACCGCGGUUAUACGAGAGACCCAAGUCGACAGAUAUCGGCGUAAAGAGUGGUUACGGACCCAAUAACCCACUAAAGUCAAACACCUCCUAAACAGUUAUACGCAUUUCGAGGCAAGAGGCCCCACCACGAAAGUGACUUUAAGAAGACUCCCGAACCCACCACAGCUACGAAACAAACUGGGAUUAGAUACCCCACUAUGCAUAGCCAUAAACCUUGAUAGCAGCUUACACUCGCUAUCCGCCCGGGUACUACGAGCACUAGCUUAAAACCCAAAGGACUUGGCGGUGCCUCAGACCCACCUAGAGGAGCCUGUUCUAGAACCGAUACCCCCCGUUCAACCUCACCACCCCUGGCCAAUCCCGCCUAUAUACCGCCGUCGUCAGCUUACCCUGUGAAGGACUCAUAGUAAGCAAAACGGGCACAGCCCCAAACGUCAGGUCGAGGUGUAGCGCAUGCGGUGGAAAGAAAUGGGCUACAUUCUCUUAUUACAGAGCUAGCCGGAGGGUGUAAUGAAACGCGCACCUGAAGGUGGAUUUAGCAGUAAGAGGAAAACACGAGUGUUCCUCUGAAGCCGGCUCUGAAGCGCGCACACACCGCCCGUCACUCUCCCUAAGAUCUUGCACCCGUUGGUGAUUUACAAUGAAUUUCUUAUUAAGGGGAGGCAAGUCGUAACAUGGUAAGUGUACCGGAAGGUGCACUUGGAUUAC